rnacentral:rRNA from 1 species
UACGGGGGGAGCAAGCGUUGUUCGGAUUUACUGGGCGUAAAGGGCGCGUAGGCGGUCAGCACAAGUCAGUUGUGAAAUCUCCGGGCUUAACUCGGAAACUGCAUUCGAUACUGCGGUGCUUGAGGACUGGAGAGGAGACUGGAAUUCAUGGUGUAGCAGUGAAAUGCGUAGAGAUCAUGAGGAAGACCAGUGGCGAAGGCGGGUCUCUGGACAGUUCCUGACACUGAGACACGAAGGCCAGGGGAGCAAACGGG